AGUGAACGCUGGCGGUAGGCCUAACACAUGCAAGUCGAACGGCAGCACAGUAAGAGCUUGCUCUUACGGGUGGCGAGUGGCGGACGGGUGAGGAAUACAUCGGAAUCUACUUUUUCGUGGGGGAUAACGUAGGGAAACUUACGCUAAUACCGCAUACGACCUACGGGUGAAAGCAGGGGAUCUUCGGACCUUGCGCGAUUGAAUGAGCCGAUGUCGGAUUAGCUAGUUGGCGGGGUAAAGGCCCACCAAGGCGACGAUCCGUAGCUGGUCUGAGAGGAUGAUCGGCCCACUGGGACAGAGGACGCGUCCAAAAACCAGAGGGGAGACACGGGGGGGAAAUUUAGGCAAAGGGGCGCAGGCCGAACCCAGCCAACCCGGGUGGGUAAAAAGGGCCUUCGGUUUGUAAAGCACUUUGGUGGGAAAAAAAAAAAAGGCGGUUAACACCCCGUUGUUUGAAGGGAACCCAAAAAAAAAGCACGGCUAAAUUUGGU
rnacentral:rRNA from 1 species